AUUGAACGCUGGCGGCAUGCCUUACACAUGCAAGUCGAACGGCAGCACGGGAGCAAUCCUGGUGGCGAGUGGCGAACGGGUGAGUAAUGUAUCGGAACGUACCUUUCAGUGGGGGAUAACGUAGCGAAAGUUACGCUAAUACCGCAUAUUCUGUGAGCAGGAAAGCAGGGGAUCGCAAGACCUUGCGCUGAUUGAGCGGCCGAUAUCAGAUUAGCUAGUUGGUGAGGUAAAGGCUCACCAAGGCGACGAUCUGUAGCAGGUCUGAGAGGAUGAUCCGCCACACUGGAACUGAGACACGGUCCAGACUCCUACGGGAGGCAGCAGUGGGGAAUUUUGGACAAUGGGGGCAACCCUGAUCCAGCCAUGCCGCGUGAGUGAAGAAGGCCUUCGGGUUGUAAAGCUCUUUCAGCCGGGAAGAAAACGCAUGGGUUAAUACCCUGUGUGGAUGACGGUACCGGAAUAAGAAGCACCGGCUAACUACGUGCCAGCAGCCGCGGUAAUACGUAGGGUGCGAGCGUUAAUCGGAAUUACUGGGCGUAAAGCGUGCGCAGGCGGUUUGUUAAGAUAGGCGUGAAAUCCCCGGGCUCAACCUGGGAACUGCGUUUAUGACUGGCAGGCUAGAGUAUGGCAGAGGGGGGUGGAAUUCCACGUGUAGCAGUGAAAUGCGUAGAGAUGUGGAGGAACACCGAUGGCGAAGGCAGCCCCCUGGGCCAAUACUGACGCUCAUGCACGAAAGCGUGGGUAGCAAACAGGAUUAGAUACCCUGGUAGUCCACGCCCUAAACGAUGUCAACUAGGUGUUGGGUGGGUAAAACCAUUUAGUACCGGAGCUAACGCGUGAAGUUGACCACCUGGGGAGUACGGCCGCAAGGUUAAAACUCAAAGGAAUAGACGGG
rnacentral:rRNA from 1 species